CAGCAGCCGCGGAAUACGGAGGGCGCGAGCGUUACCCGGAUUUACUGGGCGUAAAGGGCGUGUAGGCGGCCUGGGGCGUCCCAUGUGAAAGGCCACGGCUCAACCGUGGAGGAGCGUGGGAUACGCUCAGGCUAGAGGGUGGGAGAGGGUGGUGGAAUUCCCGGAGUAGCGGUGAAAUGCGCAGAUACCGGGAGGAACGCCGAUGGCGAAGGCAGCCACCUGGUCCACUUCUGACGCUGAGGCGCGAAAGCGUGGGGAGCAAACCGGAUUAGAUACCCCCGUAGUCCCUGUCUCUUAUACA
rnacentral:rRNA from 1 species